AUAGUCAUGCAUUUUUGUCUUGUAUAGUAUUCAAACAAAAAAAUACGGCAGAUUUAUAUAGAAAAUUUACUUUAAUUUAAAUUGUCAGACUGAACUCACUCCACUCAUCUAUACAAAAUGUUUUAUUGAUUUAAAAAUGUUUUAUCAGCUGUACACUCUAUUGUUUUAAAACUUGUGAGAAUCAAGUCGAAAUUUAAUUUAAUAUUAAUGAAAUUAUAGUACAAAACAUUACCAUCAAAUAACUCACUUCUUCUAUAGAAUGAGAGAUUAAAAAAUCUAAUAUAGAAGUAUAUGUUCCGAAAGAAAAUGAAAGAAAACUUAAAAUUAGCUCCCCCUGCAAUGAAAAAGAUAUAUUAUCACUAUAUAUUUAAUUGAUUUUGUUGACUUAUUAAUAUCCAUGUUCUUCUUACAACUUUAUGAAUACCAAAUGGUUGAUACUUGUGAAUUUCAGUUCUAUGUAUCAGUUAUAUAUCCUACCUUGGAAAUAAGGUUGGGAUGAUGUCAAUAUUUAAUUUUUCAUUUGAAUUCCAAGAAAUUGGAAUUAGUCAUACAAGUAUGAUAGCUUUUUUUUUAACUUGUUUAAAAUAUUCUUGAUUAUUAUUAUUAUUUAACCAAGUUAAAUAAGUCCAGUUCAAUUUUAAGUAGACUCUUAUUCAUUAAAUUAGAAAAAUAUAGACUUGCAAUUCUAAUUUAUAGGAUGUUAUGUUGUAUAACUAGAAAUAGAUUAUUUAGACCCGCUCAUGUAUAUAUUUAAAAAUUUGGCUGCAUAAUAAAAGUAGUUAAAAAAAUUAAUGCUUGAAAUCAUUUUCAAAUGCAAUAGCUUUUUAUAAUAUAAUAUUUCGAUCCAUUAAAUGUUUAAUAAAUAUGAACAUUAUAAUACUUAUGGCCUUGAUAAAUUAUUUUUACGCAAGCUUUCAUAGAGAAUCAGAUAUUGAAAACUUGAGAAUUGUGUGAAACUUUAAUACCAAACUGGAACACAAGAUUCAAGUCAGAAUCUAAUUAAGAGCUGGUUGGAGACAAGGCUGCAUACCUUAUUUACAAAUAUUUUUUGCUUCCAAUAAAAACAAUUUUGCAACAGA